AAACCAACUCAGCAUCUGUUUGCUGAAGGCAUCAUUCCUGCACUGUAUUAUAACAAAGUACAAUUUACUGGUGAAAGUAGAACACCAUUGGUUUUAAGUGUAGGUAUGUGUAAGAAAUCUCUAUUUUAACUAUGGUUCGUUUGAUAGGUUGUAAAUUUUUACAAUAAUAGCUUUUUGCUUGAAAAAGAUGCCCAAAAUUAUGUGCAC